UGGGGAAUAUUGCACAAUGGGCGCAAGCCUGAUGCAGCCAUGCCGCGUGUAUGAAGAAGGCCUUCGGGUUGUAAAGUACUUUCAGCGGGGAUGAAGGGAGUAAAGUUAAUACCUUUGCUCAUUGACGUUACCCGCAGAAGAAGCACCGGCUAACUCCGUGCCAGCAGCCGCGGUAAUACGGAGGGUGCAACCGUUAAUCGGAAUUACUGGGCGUAAAGCGCACGCAGGCGGUUUGUUAAGUCAGAUGUGAAAUCCCCGGGCUCAACCUGGGAACUGCAUCUGAUACUGGCAAGCUUGAGUCUCGUAGAGGGGGGUAGAAUUCCAGGUGUAGCGGUGAAAUGCGUAGAGAUCUGGAGGAAUACCGGUGGCGAAGGCGGCCCCCUGGACGAAGACUGACGCUCAGGUGCGAAAGCGUGGGGAGCAAACA
rnacentral:rRNA from 1 species